AACGAACGCUGGCGGCAUGCCUAACACAUGCAAGUCGAACGAUGGUCUUCGGAUCAUAGUGGCGCACGGGUGCGUAACGCGUGGGAAUCUGCCCUUGGGUUCGGAAUAACAGUUGGAAACGACUGCUAAUACCGGAUGAUGUCGAUAAGACCAAAGAUUUAUCGCCCGAGGAUGAGCCCGCGUCGGAUUAGCUAGUUGGUGGGGUAAAGGCCUACCAAGGCGACGAUCCGUAGCUGGUCUGAGAGGAUGAUCAGCCACACUGGGACUGAGACACGGCCCAGACUCCUACGGGAGGCAGCAGUGGGGAAUAUUGGACAAUGGGCGCAAGCCUGAUCCAGCAAUGCCGCGUGAGUGAUGAAGGCCUUAGGGUUGUAACGCUCUUUUACCCGGGAAGAUAAUGACUGUACCGGGAGAAUAAGCCCCGGCUAACUCCGUG
rnacentral:rRNA from 1 species